rnacentral:rRNA from 1 species
AUUGAACGCUGGCGGCAGGCCUAACACAUGCAAGUCGAAUGGUAACAGGAAACAGCUUGCUGUUUCGCUGACGAGUGGCGGACGGGUGAGUAAUGUCUGGGAAACUGCCUGAUGGAGGGGGAUAACUACUGGAAACGGUAGCUAAUACCGCAUAACGUCGCAAGACCAGAGAGGGGGACCUUCGGGCCUCUUGCCAUCAGAUGUGCCCAGAUGGGAUUAGCUAGGAGGUGGGGUAACGGCUCACCUAGGCGACGAUCCCUAGCUGGUCUGAGAGGAUGACCAGCCACCCUGGAACUGAGACACGGUCCAGACUCCUACGGGAGGCAGCAGUGGGGAAUAUUGCACAAUGGGCGCAAGCCUGAUGCAGCCAUGCCGCGUGUAUGAAGAAGGCCUUCGGGUUGUAAAGUACUUUCAGCGGGGAGGAAGGGAGUAAAGUUAAUACCUUUGCUCAUUGACGUUACCCGCAGAAGAAGCACCGGCUAACUCCGUG